UGGACAAUUCUAGAGUCUGUAGCCCUCUCUUCAGCGAAAAGGAAUAGCAAGGGCAGUGACAAUGCAAGCUUUCCCACACUGCCCCACCUAUGUCCUCCACUGGAGGAUCUCCAACAGUGAUGAAAGAAUAGGUUGUUCUUUGUGCUUAUUCAGUACUCAUCUGAG
ensembl:misc_RNA